rnacentral:lncRNA from 1 species
CCGUUUUUUAAGCCCGUCGGAAAAGCGCAGUAUUCAGGUAUCACCAGCUGUUUAUUUCUUCAGACAUAGGAAACGUGAACUGCUCAACCUGCCUGGUACAGGGGAUUCACAUGGAGGAGCAGCUUGAGAAAGGGAAGAGACAAAAGCACUUGUGAGUGGCACUGAACUCAAAAAUGCACACAUCCUUUCCUAGGCAAUUGGAAGCCAUUUCAGAGUCCUGGAAACUUAGAUAAACAAUCUGUGCUUUAGGAUAGUAAGCACGUUGGAAGGAAAGCCUGUAGCUUAGACUAGAGGGAUUCAACACAGAAAAAUAAGUAUUGAGGGGCUUUAUGAAGUCUGAGGUCAUGAGGCAGUAAGCUAAGAUAGCUUCAAAGGAAGUGGAAUGAAACUGUUAGAUAUGACAAUAUCAAGAAAGAAGAAAUACCAGGAUUUUCAGAAUACAAAACAAUUAAAUAUAUUGCUCUAGUUAUCUAAUAUCCCUUCAAGGUGUAAGCAGGAAAUACAUUUGGCUCUAGUAAAAUAUAGCUCAGUGUCUCUUUUAAUGGGGAGGGCUUACAUACUGCAAUGGGAAACAAGGUUGUUCUUAUUUGCAAUUUUUCUUCUAAGCUUACACCACAGCUUUUAUCUUAGUACUGU